rnacentral:rRNA from 1 species
UACGUAGGGGGCGAGCGUUGUCCGGAAUCAUUGGGCGUAAAGCGUGCGCAGGCGGUUGUGCAAGACAGAUGUGAAAUCCCCGGGCUUAACCUGGGAAUUGCAUUUGUGACUGCACGGCUAGAGUGUGUCAGAGGGGGGUAGAAUUCCACGUGUAGCAGUGAAAUGCGUAGAUAUGUGGAGGAAUACCGAUGGCGAAGGCAGCCCCCUGGGAUAACACUGACGCUCAUGCACGAAAGCGUGGGGAGCAAACAGG